GUGAAACCCUCUGGUUGGAGUUCUACAGGUCUAUCCCUCCCUGCCCCAAGGGAUAGGUUCCAGGGAUCACCCUCUGUAGUAAUUAAUCUAAGCCGUGGCUUCCGAGGCUGGCAGUUCCUGGGAGUUUGCAUCCUGUUCCAUGGACUUGAAAAGGCCGGAUUCAAACCUAAACCACGAAGACCUCAUCCUAAAGUCAGUGACUGGAGCAUGCUCAGUGCUGGGCUUAACACAGCCUUGGGAAAGACCACCCAGAGAACAGGGCUGCGCCCAUUGGACAGAAGAAAUUCGGUCAUCACGCCCCUGGGAGACACACAGAAGGCUUGAAGAUUGGCAGUCCAGGGGCAUUCCCUGCCCCUGAAAGUCCCAUCUACUCUAACACAGUACCUUGUGACUGUGAUCUGAGGAUGACAAGAUCCACGACACCUUGGGGAGCUUCACACUGAGAUAGAAGUCACUCUGAACCAACUGAACUAUAAAAUAGGGCCAUUAAUAAAGCCUGGAUUCAAAUUCUA